GAUGAACGCUGGCGGCGUGCCUAAUACAUGCAAGUCGAGCGAACAGACGAGGAGCUUGCUCCUUCGACGUUAGCGGCAGACGGGUGAGUAACACGUAGGUAACCUACCUAUAAGACUGGGAUAACUUCGGGAAACCGGAGCUAAUACCGGAUAAUAUUUCGAACCGCAUGGUUCGAUAGUGAAAGAUGGCUUUGCUAUCACUUAUAGAUGGACCUGCGCCGUAUUAGCUAGUUGGUAAGGUAACGGCUUACCAAGGCAACGAUACGUAGCCGACCUGAGAGGGUGAUCGGCCACACUGGAACUGAGACACGGUCCAGACUCCUACGGGAGGCAGCAGUAGGGAAUCUUCCGCAAUGGGCGAAAGCCUGACGGAGCAACGCCGCGUGAGUGAUGAAGGUCUUCGGAUCGUAAAACUCUGUUAUUAGGGAAGAACAAACGUGUAAGUAACUGUGCACGUCUUGACGGUACCUAAUCAGAAAGCCACGGCUAACUACGUG
rnacentral:rRNA from 1 species